rnacentral:tRNA from 1 species
AAGUAAUAAUGAGCAAGUUUGCAGUUUGAUUUCGACUCAAAAAAUGAAUAUAGUAGUGUAAUCACAUC